GGUUCGGCCAUUGUUGAGUUUGGGGUUAGCAAACUUGUUACCGAGGGACAUCCUUGUGUGUGUGGAAGGCUUGUUGCAGUGAGCUUGGGUGACUUGUCUUUGAGUGGUGACCGUGACCAUCCUAGUAACUUGAGUGGGUGAUUUUGGGUUGCUUGGUUGUUGGAGAUUGCGGUUGGCCAUUAUAGUUCCCUUGUGGAAUUAUUGCCGUGAGGUUCAUUGUCACACUUGUAAGGUUACUUGCUUAUUGUUACUUGUGGUAGCUUGAGGUGGAUUUGGCCAUUGUAACUCAUUGUGAGUGUGGGAUUGUUCACUUGGUUGCCGUGAGUAUCAUUCUUGCUUGAGUUGUUGAGUUCGGCCAUUGUUGAGGUUGGGGUGUCAACUAGUUGCCGUGGGACCUUUGGAGUGUUGGGUUUGUUGACAUUGACAACUUAUUGCCAUAGAUCUUUGGGGUAACUUGUAGGAAGCUUGUUGCCGUGAGAGUCCAAAGAUUGGUGGCCUUAUAGCCGUGUGAAUCUCUUGGUGUUGGUUUAUUACCGUGAGCAUUCGGUAGCACUUUGGGUGCAAGUGUGAUUGCCGUGUAUCUCUGUGGUGAGACUGGUAGCCGUGAGUCCUUGGGACCAUUGAAGAGGCUGACUUGUUGGAGGAACAA
rnacentral:misc_RNA from 1 species